GAUUCUGGCUCAGGAUGAACGCUAGCGGCAGGCUUAACACAUGCAAGUCGAGGGGCAACGCGAGUAGCAAUACUUGGCGGCGACCGGCGCAAGGGUGCGUAACGCGUGAGCAACAUGCCCGUAUCAGGGGGAUAAUCCAGGGAAACUUGGUCUAAUACCCCAUAGUAAUUUUGUAAGGCAUCUUAUAAGAUUUAAAGCUUUGGUGGAUACGGAUUGGCUCGCGUGACAUUAGCUGGAUGGUAAGGUAACGGCUUACCAUGGCUAUGAUGUCUAGGGGUUCUGAGAGGAAGGUCCCCCACACUGGAACUGAGACACGGUCCAGACUCCUACGGGAGGCAGCAGUGAGGAAUAUUGGACAAUGGAUGGAAAUCUGAUCCAGCCAUGCCGCGUGAAAGGAAGAAGGUCCUAUAGAUUGUAAACUUCUUUUGUAUGGGAGCAAUAAGGCCUACGAGUAGGUUGAUGAGAGUACCAUACGAAUAAGCACCGGCUAACUCCGUGCCAGCCGCGGC
rnacentral:rRNA from 1 species